rnacentral:rRNA from 1 species
GACGAACGCUGGCGGCGUGCUUAACACAUGCAAGUCGAACGGAAAGGCCCUGCUUUUGUGGGGUGCUCGAGUGGCGAACGGGUGAGUAACACGUGAGUAACCUGCCCUUGACUUUGGGAUAACUUCAGGAAACUGGGGCUAAUACCGGAUAGGAGCUCCUGCUGCAUGGUGGGGGUUGGAAAGUUUCGGCGGUUGGGGAUGGACUCGCGGCUUAUCAGCUUGUUGGUGGGGUAGUGGCUUACCAAGGCUUUGACGGGUAGCCGGCCUGAGAGGGUGACCGGCCACAUUGGGACUGAGAUACGGCCCAGACUCCUACGGGAGGCAGCAGUGGGGAAUAUUGCACAAUGGGCGGAAGCCUGAUGCAGCAACGCCGCGUGUGGGAUGACGGCCUUCGGGUUGUAAACCGCUUUCGCCUGUGACGAAGCGUGAGUUACGGUAAUGGGUAAAGAAGCACCGGCUAACUACGUG